GUGGCUAUAGCUCAGUUGGUAGAGCUCCGGAUUGUGGUUCCGGCUGUCGUGGGUUCGAGCCCCAUUAGCCACCCCA
rnacentral:tRNA from 1 species